ACGUGAAACCGUUCAGGGGUAAACCUGAGAAACCCAAAAGAUCGAAUGGGGAGAUUCAUCGUCAACGGUGGCUGGUUCCCGUUGGUGCGCGAUGCUCCGAAUGGGAUUCAUGAGAACAUGGCCCCAUCGCGAGGGCACGCCACCUUCGGCUUGAAUCUUCCGGUGCCGUAGUCGUGCACUUCUCCCCUAGUAGAACGUCGCGACCCGUUGUGUGUCGGUCUACGGCCCGAGCGGGCGCCUGUCGCGUCGCGCUUGUCGCACGCGUCAGACCCUCGGAUGCCUGGCCGGCUGCACGACGGUACUCCCACGGUAUCGGGCCGCAACCAAUCCAUUCUCGAAUGUGUGUGCGUCUAGCCCGCCGCAAGCUCGAUCAGUUCUUACCCGGUGGUACGGACCUGGUGCCGUCCCUGGGCCUGAUCAGCUGUUAGCAGGCGGUGUCCUCGGACUGGCCAAGCUUUGAAUUACCGGUCGGCGACGCUACUGCUUUGGGUACUCUCAGGACCCGUCUUGAAACACGGACCAAGGAGUCUAACAUGUGCGCGAGUCAUUGGGAUGCACAAACCUAAAGGCGAAAUGAAAGUGAAGGUCGUCCAUUGCGUCGACCGAGGGAGGAUGGGCCGCGUUACGAGGCGGCCCCGCACUCCCGGGGCGUCUCGUUCUCAUUGCGAGAAGA
rnacentral:rRNA from 1 species